rnacentral:rRNA from 1 species
AUUGAACGCUGGCGGCAUGAUUUACACAUGCAAGUCGAACGGUAACAGGCCGCAGGGUGCUGACGAGUGGCGAACGGGUGAGUAAUGCAUCGGAACGUGCCCAGUCGUGGGGGAUAACUACUCGAAAGAGUAGCUAAUACCGCAUACGAUCUAUGGAUGAAAGCGGGGGACCGUAAGGCCUCGCACGAUUGGAGCGGCCGAUGUCAGAUUAGGUAGUUGGUGGGGUAAAGGCUCACCAAGCCAACGAUCUGUAGCUGGUCUGAGAGGACGACCAGCCACACUGGGACUGAGACACGGCCCAGACUCCUACGGGAGGCAGCAGUGGGGAAUUUUGGACAAUGGGCGCAAGCCUGAUCCAGCAAUGCCGCGUGCAGGAAGAAGGCCUUCGGGUUGUAAACUGCUUUUGUACGGAACGAAACGGCUCUGGUUAAUACCCGGGGCUAAUGACGGUACCGUAAGAAUAAGCACCGGCUAACUACGUG